rfam:Schistocephalus solidus strain NST_G2 genome assembly, scaffold: SSLN_scaffold0006942
GGCCUCGUAACUCAGUUGGCUAGAGCGUUGGCUGUAAUAAAGCCUUCCUCUUGCUGUCGUGGGUUCGAAUCCCACUGAGGCCA